AUGCCCAGGAAAAGAGCGCCCUCUUAUGGUUCAACUGGGACUCUUCAGGCCAGGGAACGCUACCUCUUAACGCCUAGGAAAAGGGCGCCCUCUUGUGGGUCAUCUGAGACUCUUCAGGCUAGGGAAUGCUCCCUCUUAACACCCAGGAAAAGAGCGCCCUCUUGUGGGUCAACUGGGACUCUUCAAGCUAGGGAACGCUACCUCUUAAGGCCCAGGAAAAGAGCGCCCUCUUAUGGUUCAACUGGGACUCUUCAGGCCAGGGAACGCUACCUCUUAACGCCUAGGAAAAGGGCGCCCUCUUGUGGGUCAUCUGAGACUCUUCAGGCUAGGGAAUGCUCCCUCUUAACACCCAGGAAAAGAGCGCCCUCUUGUGGGUCAACUGGGACUCUUCAAGCUAGGGAACGCUACCUCUUAAGGCCCAGGAAAAGAGCGCCCUCUUAUGGUUCAACUGGGACUCUUCAGGCCAGGGAACGCUACCUCUUAACGCCUAGGAAAAGGGCGCCCUCUUGUGGGUCAUCUGAGACUCUUCAGGCUAGGGAAUGCUCCCUCUUAACACCCAGGAAAAGAGCGCCCUCUUGUGGGUCAACUGGGACUCUUCAAGCUAGGGAACGCUACCUCUUAAGGCCCAGGAAAAGAGCGCCCUCUUAUGGUUCAACUGGGACUCUUCAGGCCAGGGAACGCUACCUCUUAACGCCUAGGAAAAGGGCGCCCUCUUGUGGGUCAUCUGAGACUCUUCAGGCUAGGGAAUGCUCCCUCUUAACACCCAGGAAAAGAGCGCCCUCUUGUGGGUCAACUGGGACUCUUCAAGCUAGGGAACGCUACCUCUUAAGGCCCAGGAAAAGAGCGCCCUCUUAUGGUUCAACUGGGACUCUUCAGGCCAGGGAACGCUACCUCUUAACGCCUAGGAAAAGGGCGCCCUCUUGUGGGUCAUCUGAGACUCUUCAGGCUAGGGAAUGCUCCCUCUUAACACCCAGGAAAAGAGCGCCCUCUUGUGGGUCAACUGGGACUCUUCAAGCUAGGGAACGCUACCUCUUAAGGCCCAGGAAAAGAGCGCCCUCUUAUGGUUCAACUGGGACUCUUCAGGCCAGGGAACGCUACCUCUUAACGCCUAGGAAAAGGGCGCCCUCUUGUGGGUCAUCUGAGACUCUUCAGGCUAGGGAAUGCUCCCUCUUAACACCCAGGAAAAGAGCGCCCUCUUGUGGGUCAACUGGGACUCUUCAAGCUAGGGAACGCUACCUCUUAAGGCCCAGGAAAAGAGCGCCCUCUUAUGGUUCAACUGGGACUCUUCAGGCCAGGGAACGCUACCUCUUAACGCCUAGGAAAAGGGCGCCCUCUUGUGGGUCAUCUGAGACUCUUCAGGCUAGGGAAUGCUCCCUCUUAACACCCAGGAAAAGAGCGCCCUCUUGUGGGUCAACUGGGACUCUUCAAGCUAGGGAACGCUACCUCUUAAGGCCCAGGAAAAGAGCGCCCUCUUAUGGUUCAACUGGGACUCUUCAGGCCAGGGAACGCUACCUCUUAACGCCUAGGAAAAGGGCGCCCUCUUGUGGGUCAUCUGAGACUCUUCAGGCUAGGGAAUGCUCCCUCUUAACACCCAGGAAAAGAGCGCCCUCUUGUGGGUCAACUGGGACUCUUCAAGCUAGGGAACGCUACCUCUUAAGGCCCAGGAAAAGAGCGCCCUCUUAUGGUUCAACUGGGACUCUUCAGGCCAGGGAACGCUACCUCUUAACGCCUAGGAAAAGGGCGCCCUCUUGUGGGUCAUCUGAGACUCUUCAGGCUAGGGAAUGCUCCCUCUUAACACCCAGGAAAAGAGCGCCCUCUUGUGGGUCAACUGGGACUCUUCAAGCUAGGGAACGCUACCUCUUAAGGCCCAGGAAAAGAGCGCCCUCUUAUGGUUCAACUGGGACUCUUCAGGCCAGGGAACGCUACCUCUUAACGCCUAGGAAAAGGGCGCCCUCUUGUGGGUCAUCUGAGACUCUUCAGGCUAGGGAAUGCUCCCUCUUAACACCCAGGAAAAGAGCGCCCUCUUGUGGGUCAACUGGGACUCUUCAAGCUAGGGAACGCUACCUCUUAAGGCCCAGGAAAAGAGCGCCCUCUUAUGGUUCAACUGGGACUCUUCAGGCCAGGGAACGCUACCUCUUAACGCCUAGGAAAAGGGCGCCCUCUUGUGGGUCAUCUGAGACUCUUCAGGCUAGGGAAUGCUCCCUCUUAACACCCAGGAAAAGAGCGCCCUCUUGUGGGUCAACUGGGACUCUUCAAGCUAGGGAACGCUACCUCUUAAGGCCCAGGAAAAGAGCGCCCUCUUAUGGUUCAACUGGGACUCUUCAGGCCAGGGAACGCUACCUCUUAACGCCUAGGAAAAGGGCGCCCUCUUGUGGGUCAUCUGAGACUCUUCAGGCUAGGGAAUGCUCCCUCUUAACACCCAGGAAAAGAGCGCCCUCUUGUGGGUCAACUGGGACUCUUCAAGCUAGGGAACGCUACCUCUUAAGGCCCAGGAAAAGAGCGCCCUCUUAUGGUUCAACUGGGACUCUUCAGGCCAGGGAACGCUACCUCUUAACGCCUAGGAAAAGGGCGCCCUCUUGUGGGUCAUCUGAGACUCUUCAGGCUAGGGAAUGCUCCCUCUUAACACCCAGGAAAAGAGCGCCCUCUUGUGGGUCAACUGGGACUCUUCAAGCUAGGGAACGCUACCUCUUAAGGCCCAGGAAAAGAGCGCCCUCUUAUGGUUCAACUGGGACUCUUCAGGCCAGGGAACGCUACCUCUUAACGCCUAGGAAAAGGGCGCCCUCUUGUGGGUCAUCUGAGACUCUUCAGGCUAGGGAAUGCUCCCUCUUAACACCCAGGAAAAGAGCGCCCUCUUGUGGGUCAACUGGGACUCUUCAAGCUAGGGAACGCUACCUCUUAAGGCCCAGGAAAAGAGCGCCCUCUUAUGGUUCAACUGGGACUCUUCAGGCCAGGGAACGCUACCUCUUAACGCCUAGGAAAAGGGCGCCCUCUUGUGGGUCAUCUGAGACUCUUCAGGCUAGGGAAUGCUCCCUCUUAACACCCAGGAAAAGAGCGCCCUCUUGUGGGUCAACUGGGACUCUUCAAGCUAGGGAACGCUACCUCUUAAGGCCCAGGAAAAGAGCGCCCUCUUAUGGUUCAACUGGGACUCUUCAGGCCAGGGAACGCUACCUCUUAACGCCUAGGAAAAGGGCGCCCUCUUGUGGGUCAUCUGAGACUCUUCAGGCUAGGGAAUGCUCCCUCUUAACACCCAGGAAAAGAGCGCCCUCUUGUGGGUCAACUGGGACUCUUCAAGCUAGGGAACGCUACCUCUUAAGGCCCAGGAAAAGAGCGCCCUCUUAUGGUUCAACUGGGACUCUUCAGGCCAGGGAACGCUACCUCUUAACGCCUAGGAAAAGGGCGCCCUCUUGUGGGUCAUCUGAGACUCUUCAGGCUAGGGAAUGCUCCCUCUUAACACCCAGGAAAAGAGCGCCCUCUUGUGGGUCAACUGGGACUCUUCAAGCUAGGGAACGCUACCUCUUAAGGCCCAGGAAAAGAGCGCCCUCUUAUGGUUCAACUGGGACUCUUCAGGCCAGGGAACGCUACCUCUUAACGCCUAGGAAAAGGGCGCCCUCUUGUGGGUCAUCUGAGACUCUUCAGGCUAGGGAAUGCUCCCUCUUAACACCCAGGAAAAGAGCGCCCUCUUGUGGGUCAACUGGGACUCUUCAAGCUAGGGAACGCUACCUCUUAAGGCCCAGGAAAAGAGCGCCCUCUUAUGGUUCAACUGGGACUCUUCAGGCCAGGGAACGCUACCUCUUAACGCCUAGGAAAAGGGCGCCCUCUUGUGGGUCAUCUGAGACUCUUCAGGCUAGGGAAUGCUCCCUCUUAACACCCAGGAAAAGAGCGCCCUCUUGUGGGUCAACUGGGACUCUUCAAGCUAGGGAACGCUACCUCUUAAGGCCCAGGAAAAGAGCGCCCUCUUAUGGUUCAACUGGGACUCUUCAGGCCAGGGAACGCUACCUCUUAACGCCUAGGAAAAGGGCGCCCUCUUGUGGUUCAACAGACUCUUCAGGCUAG
rnacentral:lncRNA from 1 species